CCAGACUCCUACGGGAGGCAGCAGUGGGGAAUAUUGGACAAUGGGGGGAACCCUGAUCCAGCGACGCCGCGUGAGUGAAGAAGUAUUUCGGUAUGUAAAGCUCUAUCAGCAGGGAAGAAAGAAAUGACGGUACCUGACUAAGAAGCCCCGGCUAACUACGUGCCAGCAGCCGCGGUAAUACGUAGGGGGCAAGCGUUAUCCGGAUUUACUGGGUGUAAAGGGAGCGUAGACGGCUAUGCAAGCCAGAUGUGAAAGCCCGGGGCUCAACCCCGGGACUGCAUUUGGAACUGUGUGGCUGGAGUGUCGGAGAGGCAGGCGGAAUUCCUAGUGUAGCGGUGAAAUGCGUAGAUAUUAGGAGGAACACCAGUGGCGAAGGCGGCUUACUGGACUGUAACUGACGUUGAGGCUCGAAAGCGUGGGGAGCAAACAGGAUUAGAUACCCUAGUA
rnacentral:rRNA from 1 species